rnacentral:tRNA from 1 species
CAAAGGGUAGUUUAGAUAAAAUAUUAAUUUUGGGGAUUAAUGAUAAGAAAUUUUCUUUCCUUUGA